rnacentral:rRNA from 1 species
CGGAGGGGGCUAGCGUUGUCCGAAGUUACUGGGCGUAAAGCGCGCGUAGGCGGGUUGGUAAGUCCGCUGUGAAGGCCCGGAGCUUAACUCCGGAGGGUCGGUGGAUACUGCCAGUCUUGAAGGUGCUAGGGGGAGAUGGAAUUACCGGUGUAGCGGUGAAAUGCGUAGAUAUCGGUAGGAACACCAGUGGCGAAGGCGGUCUCCUGGGGCAUUCUUGACGCUGAGGCGCGAAAGCUGGGGGAGCGAACGGGAUUAGAUACCCCGGUAGUCCCAGCCCUAAACGAUGGAUACUAGGUGUCGGGGGUAUCGACCCCCCCGGUGCCGCCGCUAACGCAGUAAGUAUCCCGCCUGGGGAGUACGGCCGCAAGGUUG